UACGUAGGGGGCGAGCGUUGUCCGGAUUCAUUGGGCGUAAAGCGCGCGUAGGCGGCUCCGCAAGUCGGCCGUGAAAUCUCCGGGCUCAACUCGGAGGGGUCGGGCGAGACUGCGGGGCUCGAGGUGGGCAGAGGGCAGUGGAAUUCCGGGUGUGAGUGGUGGGAAUGACGUAGAGAUCCGGAGGAACACCAGUGGCGAAGGCGGCUGCCUGGGCCUGGCCUGACGCUGAGGCGCGAAAGCGUGGGGAGCGAGUCCGG
rnacentral:rRNA from 1 species